rnacentral:rRNA from 1 species
AACCUCCGCAAUGUGAGAAAUCGCGACGGGGGGAUCCCAAGUGCCAUUCUUAACGGGAUGGCUUUUCAUUAGUGUAAAAAGCUUUUGGAAUAAGAGCUGGGCAAGACCGGUGCCAGCCGCCGCGGUAACACCGGCAGCUCUAGUGGUAGCAAUUUUUAUUGGGCCUAAAGCGUCCGUAGCCGGUUUAAUAAGUCUCUGGUGAAAUCCUGUAGCUUAACUGUGGGAAUUGCUGGAGAUACUAUUAGACUUGAGACCGGGAGAGGUUAGAGGUACUCCCAGGGUAGAGGUGAAAUUCUGUAAUCCUGGGAGGACCGCCUGUUGCGAAGGCGUCUAACUGGAACGGUUCUGACGGUGAGGGACGAAAGCCCUGGGCGCAAACGGGAUUAGAUACCCCGGUAGUCCAGGGUGUAAACGCUGCAGACUUGGUGUUGGGGGCCCUUCGGGGCGUCCGAGUGCCGGAGAGAAGUUGUUAAGUCUGUCUACUGGGUAGGUACGUCCGCGGAGUAGAAACUUAAAGGAAGU